GGGUGCAGCAGGCGCGAAAACUCUACAAUGCAGGCAACUGCGAUAGGGGAACAUCGAGUGAUCCUCAUAUUGGGGGUCUGUCCCAUCGUCUAAAAAACGGUGGUUAGCAAGGGCCGGGCAAGACCGGUGCCAGCCGCUGCGGUAAUACCGGCGGCUCGAGUGGUGGCCGAUAUUAUUGAGUCUAAAGGGUCCGUAGCCGGCUUUGCAAGUCUCUCGGGAAAUCCAGCGGCUUAACCGUUGGUCGUCCGGGGGGUACUACAUUGCUUGGGACUGGGAGAGGUAGGAGGUACUCAGGGGGUAGGAGUGAAAUCCUGUAAUCCUCUGGGGACCACCGGUGGCGAAGGCGUCCUACCAGAACAGGUCCGACGGUGAGGGACGAAAGCUAGGGGCACGAACCGGAUUAGAUACCCGGGUAGUCCUAGCCGUAAACGAUGCUCGCUAGGUGUCACAACAGUCGUGAACUGUUGUGGUGCCGUAGGGAAGCCGUGAAGCGAGCCACUUGGGAAGUACGACCGCAAGGUUGAAACUUAAAGGAAUUGGCGGGGGAGCACAAGGGCGAAUCGCG
rnacentral:rRNA from 1 species